AUCAAAUAUUUUCACCGGAUGUCACAGAAUUUUUUCACUACGUGCCAUGCCUUCAAUAUUUCUUCAAGAAUUGGAUGGAAUGCUGAUGUGGCUUGAUUUUGGGACGAACCUUGCACAGUCGGAAGCACACGUCACUCGAGCGGGACCCACAUGCCACCAUCUUCUUCAUCUCUUUCUCUUCUUUGCUCCCUACGCACACACUGACAAACACAACUCCCUUCCUCCUUUGUCUCCUCCACCUAAAACCAUCACCUCAUCUUCAUCAUCGCCAUGCAGCACUAAGCAACAACAUGGCAAGAAGAAGAGGGAGACGACAGGAACAACUCAGGAAUGGAGGAUAGGAAAGAGCAGCAACAGCAUCUCAGGAGCUUGGGGAAAGAGCGGCCAUUCUAGAGUAGCUCGAGAGCUCGGAAAGGAGCAACAUUGACUCAGCAGGGCGCUCAAAUGAACAACACGGCAACAACAAAGAAGUAGAAGCUGAGAGGAAGAUAGUGAUAAAGCGAUGGAGGCUCCUAUGGGUCCUAUUCCCUUGUCCCUCCUUUGACGUUCUUCCCUCUCCCCUUCUAUCUUCAUCAUAGCUCAGCCAUCAUCUUUUAUCAUCGUCAUUGCCCCCCUCUUUCUCUCGGCCUCCCAUCAUCACAGCUACAUCCACCUCCAUCACCAUCCUUUGCCCAUCACCAUCUCCAUCCUCUGCCCAUUACUAUCUCCAUCCUCUGCUUUCUCUCUAUUAGCUCUAUCCUCUGUACCUUUCAUCACCAAUGCCACCCUCAACUCCUUCUUCACCUUUGCCUUUAGCUGUUACAUCCCUCUUAUCCUUUGCCCUCAUGACCAUGGCCCUCUACCAUAAUCACCAGCAUCUCUUUCCUUUUCUCUCCCCCACUCUUUCAACUUCCCUUACACGGAUACAAACCACCAGCAUCUUCUCAUCUCCCCCUUCCACUUCCAUGGGCGCCCUUUAAACCAUUUAUCCUCCUCUGCCCUGUGUCUUCAUCACCAAUCUCCUGUUGCCUCCUUCAUUUUCAAUCAUCAUCCUCAGCUUUUCCUUGUCCUUUAGCCACUCCAUGACCUCCUCAGCCGCCUCUAUCCCUUUACCACUAUCUUUCUCUCAACUCCUACUUCUUUGCGUUGGGAAAAAUAGACGAUAGUAGAAGAAAUUCUGAACGAAAAGCAAAAAAGACACGAAAUUAAUUACCCAGUUCGUCAGAGAAGAAAUUCUGACUACAUCUAGAGGCGCCGCCAAGCCAGAACAAAACAUGAGCUCUCGAUUUGGAAUCACAGUACUUCAAGUUUCAUAACUCAACACUUUGUCGCUGCCGCGCUGCUCCUCUGAGCUCCUCGCUGAGUCAUUGCUGCUCCUUUCCGAGCUCCCGAGCUAUUGUUGCAUGGCCGCUCCUUCCCCCGAGCUCCUGAGAUGCCGUUGCUAUUCUUUCCUAUCCUCCACUGCUGAGUUGUUGUUGCCUUCUCCCUCUCCUUCUUGCCAUGUUGCUGCUUACUGCUGCAUGGCGAUGAUGAAGAUGAAGGCGAUGGUUUCGGAUGGAGGAGACAGAGGAUGGAAGGAGUUGUGUUUGUCUGUGUAUGCGUAGGGAGCAAAUAAGAGAAAGAGAAGAAGAAGAUGGUGGCGUGUGAGUCCCACUCAAGUGACAUGUACGUUCGGUUGUGCAAUGAUUGUCCUAAAAUUAAGUCAUGCCAGUAUUCUGUCCGAUUUCUAAGAGAAUGUUAACUACAUGACGCGUGGUGAAAAAAAAAUCUGUGAUAUCCGAUAAAAAUAUUUGGUUUUGUGAUGUGGGGUGAAAAACCUAAAAAAAUGUGACAUGUGGUGUUAUUUACCCCAUUUAUUUUGUAUAUAGUUGUGAUUCCGAAUACUUAAAA